AUUGAACGCUGGCGGCAUGCUUUACACAUGCAAGUCGAACGGUAACAGGCCGCAAGGUGCUGACGAGUGGCGAACGGGUGAGUAAUGCAUCGGAACGUGCCCAGUCGUGGGGGAUAACGCAGCGAAAGCUGCGCUAAUACCGCAUACGAUCUAUGGAUGAAAGCGGGGGACCGUAAGGCCUCGCGCGAUUGGAGCGGCCGAUGUCAGAUUAGGUAGUUGGUGGGGUAAAGGCUCACCAAGCCGACGAUCUGUAGCUGGUCUGAGAGGACGACCAGCCACACUGGGACUGAGACACGGCCCAGACUCCUACGGGAGGCAGCAGUGGGGAAUUUUGGACAAUGGGCGCAAGCCUGAUCCAGCAAUGCCGCGUGCAGGAAGAAGGCCUUCGGGUUGUAAACUGCUUUUGUACGGAACGAAAAGGCUCUGGUUAAUACCUAGGGCUCAUGACGGUACCGUAAGAAUAAGCACCGGCUAACUACGUGCCAGCCGCCGCAGUAAAAC
rnacentral:rRNA from 1 species